AAGUCUCUAAGGACGAUUUCCUUCACCAUAAAACCCCUUGCUUCUCCGACUCACUUGUGAUUGUCAGUAGAGGACCUCAUGAAUAAUGCUCUUUCUAUUAAAAAAAAAAAGAAUUAAAAAAAACUUAAAACUGUUUAUAUGCACGCGCUGACAGCUAUUAGCAUCAACCCCUUUUGUCAGCUUCCAGGAAAUAAUACGGAGCUAUGUGGCAUUAUUCUUUAUCCAGACUGGGAUUCGUGCAUAGUCUAGUCCCUCCGUUUACCAGAAAGUACCAGAAACUGUGUGUAGGACUGAUAGACUUCAGUGUAUAUGACAAAUUACAGUCUGUCAGGACACAAGCAAAGGAUGGGAACAUCUCUCCUUGGAUUAUGAGUUCAUCCUUUUAGUGMGACUGCAAAGGUGUGGACCUGUCUAUGGAUUUGAUUUUUCCAUCACUAUCCUAUCUAGAAAAGCUACCAAAAAUAAAUAAGGAUUUUCAAGCA
rnacentral:lncRNA from 1 species